rnacentral:rRNA from 1 species
AUUGAACGCUGGCGGCAGGCCUAACACAUGCAAGUCGAACGGUAACAGGAAACAGCUUGCUGUUUCGCUGACGAGUGGCGGACGGGUGAGUAACGUCUGGGAAACUGCCUGAUGGAGGGGGAUAACUACUGGAAACGGUAGCUAAUACCGCAUAACGUCGCAAGACCAAAGAGGGGGACCUUCGGGCCUCUUGCCAUCGGAUGUGCCCAGAUGGGAUUAGCUAGUAGGUGGGGUAACGGCUCACCUAGGCGACGAUCCCUAGCUGGUCUGAGAGGAUGACCAGCCACACUGGAACUGAGACACGGUCCAGACUCCUACGGGAGGCAGCAGUGGGGAAUAUUGCACAAUGGGCGCAAGCCUGAUGCAGCCAUGUCGCGUGUAUGAAGAAGGCCUUCGGGUUGUAAAGUACUUUCAGCGGGGAGGAAGGGAGUAAAGUUAAUACCUUUGCUCAUUGACGUUACCCGCAGAAGAAGCACCGGCUAACUCCGUGCCAGCCGCCGCCGUAA